rfam:Pteropus alecto contig28368, whole genome shotgun sequence.
GGUUCCAUAGUGUAGCGGUUAGCAUGUCUGCUUUACAUGCAGAAGGUCCUGGGUUCGCACACCAGUGGAGCCA